rnacentral:rRNA from 1 species
GACGAACGCUGGCGGCGUGCUUAACACAUGCAAGUCGAACGGAAAGGCCCUGCUUUUGUGGGGUGCUCGAGUGGCGAACGGGUGAGUAACACGUGAGUAACCUGCCCUUGACUUUGGGAUAACUUCAGGAAACUGGGGCUAAUACCGGAUAGGAGCUCCUGCUGCAUGGUGGGGGUUGGAAAGUUUCGGCGGUUGGGGAUGGACUCGCGGCCUAUCAGCUUGUUGGUGGGGUAGUGGCUUACCAAGGCUGUGACGGGUAGCCGGCCUGAGAGGGUGACCGGCCACAUGGGGACAGAGAUACGGCCCAGACGCCUACGGGAGGCAGCAGUGGGGAAUAUUGCACAGUGGGCGGAAGCGUGCUGCAGCAGCGCCGCGUGCGGGAUGACGGCCUUCGGGUUGUAAACCGCUUUCGCCUGUGACGAAGCGUGAGUGACGGUAAUGGGUAAAGAAGCACCGGCUAACUACGU